rnacentral:rRNA from 1 species
UGGAAGCGCUGCUGACCAUGCAGUCGACGAUGAAGCCCAGCUUGCUGGGUGGAUUAGUGGCGAAGGGGUGAGUAACACGUGAGUAACCUGCCCUUAGCUCUGGGAUAAGCCUGGGAAACUGGGUCUAAUACCGGAUAGGAGCGCCUACCGCAUGGUGGGUGUUGGAAAGAUUUAUCGGUUUUGGAUGGACUCGCGGCCUAUCAGCUUGUUGGUGAGGUAAUGGCUCACCAAGGCGACGACGGUGAGCCGGCCUGAGAAGGUGACCGGCCGCACUGGGACUGAGACACGGCCCCCACUCCUACGGGAGGCAGCAGUGGGGAAUAUUGCGCAAUGGGCGCAAGCCUGAUGCUGCGACGCCGCGUGAGGGAUGACGGCCUUCGGGUUGUAAACCUCUUUCAGUAGGGAAGAAGCGAAAGUGACGGUACCUGCAGAAGAAGCACCGGCUAACUACGUGCCAGCAGCCGCGGUAAUACGUAGGGUGCGAGCGUUAUCCGGAAUUAUUGGGCGUAAAGAGCUCGUAGGCGGUUUGUCGCGUCUGUCGUGAAAGUCCGGGGCUUAACCCCGGAUCUGCGGUGGGUACGGCUAGACUAGAGUGCAGUAGGGUAGACUGCAAUUCCUGGUGUAGCGGUGGAAUGCGCAGAUAUCAAGAGGAACACCGAUGGCGAAUGCAGGUCUCUGGGCUGUAACUGACGCUGACGAUCGAGAGCAUGGGGAGCGAACGCGAUUAGAUACCCUGGUAGUCCAUGCCGUGAUCGUUGGGCACUAAGUGUGUGGACCAUUCCACGGUUUCCGCGCCGCAGCUAACGCAUUAAGUGCCCCGCCUGGGGAGUACGGUCGCGAGGCUAAAACUCAAAGGAAUUGACGGGGGCCCGCACGAGCGGCCGGAGCAUGCGGAUUAAUUCGAUGCAACGCGAAAUACCUUUACCAAGGCUCGACAUGUUCUCUGAUCGCCGUAGAGAUACUGCUUUCCCACUUUUGGGGCGGGUUUCACAAGGUGCUGCAUGGCUUGUCGUCAGACUCGUUGUCGUGAGAUGCUUGGUUUAAGUCCCGCGACGAGCGUCAACCCCUACGUUCCAUGAUCGCCAGCCACGUAGUGCUGGCGACUCAUGGUAUACUGCCCUGGGAUCAACUCGGAGCAGCUGAAGACGACGUUCGAUUCAUCAUGCCCCCUUUAUGUUCUUUG